CCUGACUGCUAUCGGAUUGAUACUAAGCCAUGCGAGUCAUUGUAGCAAUACAAGGCAUACGGCUCAGUAACGCGUAGUCAACCUACCCUAUGGACGGGAAUAACCUCGGGAAACUGAGAAUAAUGCCCGAUAGAACAUUAUGCCUGGAAUGGUUUAUGUUCCAAAUGAUUUAUCGCCGUAGGAUGGGACUGCGGCCUAUCAGUUUGUUGGUGAGGUAAUGGCCCACCAAGACUAUUACAGGUACGGGCUCCGAGAGGAGUAGCCCGGAGAUGGGUACUGAGACACGGACCCAGGCCCUAUGGGGCGCAGCAGGCGAGAAAACUUUGCAAUGUGCGAAAGCACGACAAGGUUAAUCCGAGUGGUUUGUGCUAAACGAACCUUUUGUCAGUCCUAGAAACACUAACGAAUAAGGGGUGGGCAAGUUCUGGUGUCAGCCGCCGCGGUAAAACCAGCACCUCAAGUGGUCAGGAUGAUUAUUGGGCCUAAAGCAUCCGUAGCCGGAUCUGUAAGUUUUCGGUUAAAUCUGUACGCUCAACGUACAGGCUGCCGGGAAUACUGCAGAUCUAGGGAGUGGGAGAGGUAGACGGUACUCGGUAGGAAGGGGUAAAAUCCUUUGAUCUAUUGAUGACCACCUGUGGCGAAGGCGGUCUACCAGAACACGUCCGACGGUGAGGGAUGAAAGCUGGGGGAGCAAACCGGAUUAGAUACCCGGGUAGUCCCAGCUGUAAACUAUGCAAACUCAGUGAUGCAUUGGCUUGUGGCCAAUGCAGUGCUGCAGGGAAGUCGUUAAGUUUGCCGCCUGGGAAGUACGUACGCAAGUAUGAAACUUUAAGGAAUUGGCGGGGAGCA
rnacentral:rRNA from 1 species